AUGGACGCGCCGGCGCAUGUUCUCGUGUUCCCGUGGCCGCUGCAGGGCCACAUCAACUGCAUGCUCCAUCUCACCGCCGCCCUCCUCGACGCCGGCUUCCGCGUCACCUUCCUCCACACCGAGCACAACCUCAGCCGCCUUGCCCGAGCGGCGCUGCCGCCGGGCCUCCGCCUGCUGUCCGUUCCUGACGGCCUCCCGGACGACCACCCCCGCUCGGUGCGCAGCCUCAAGGAGCUCACGGAGUCCAUGUUCACGACGGGCAGCGCUGCGUACCGCGCCCUGCUACUGUCGCUUCGAUCCGAUUCCGAUGCACCGCCGUUGACUUGCGUUAUCGCCGACGGCAUCAUGCCGUUCGCAGUCGACAUCGCGGAGGAGCUCGGCGUCCCGGCCCUCGCCUUCCGCACGGCCAGCGCGUGCAGCUACUUGGCGUACCUGUCCGUGCCAACGCUCGUGGAGCUCGGCGAGGUCCCCUUCCCUGCAGACGACCCGGUGCGCGGCGUCCCAGGGAUGGAGGGCUUCCUACGGCGGCGAGACCUUCCACGUGGAGUCGGACGCAGCGAGGACGGCGCCUUCGACCCCAUGCUGCUGGCGAUCGCCGAGGGCAUCGCUCACGCCGGCAAGGCGCGGGCACUCAUACUAAACACCGCCGCGUCCAUGGAGGGUCCAGCGCUCGCGCGCAUCGCGCCGCACAUGCGCGACCUCUUCGCCAUAGGCCCUCUGCAUGCAGAGCAUGACGCAGCCGCUAGCCUGUGGAGCGAGGACGAUAGCUGCAUGGCGUGGCUCGACGGCCACGGGGACCGCUCCGUUGUGUACGUGAGCCUAGGAAGCCUCGCCGUGAUCUCGCACGAGCAGUUCACCGAGUUCCUGGCCGGCCUCGUCGCCACCGGCUACGCCUUCCUCUGGGUGCUCCGGCCGGACAUGGUGAAGACCACAGGCUCCGUGCUCCGAGAAGCCGUCAAGGAGGCGGGCAGCAAGGCGCGUGUGGUGGAGUGGGCACCGCAGAGGGGCGUGCUGCGGCACCGCGCGGUGGGGUGCUUCCUGACGCAUGGUGGGUGGAACUCGACGCUGGAGGCCGCGGCCGAGGGCGUGCCGAUGGUGUGCUGGCCAUUCUUCGCCGACCAGCAGAUAAACAGCCGCUUCGUAGGCGCGGUGUGGAGGACGGGUAUGGACAUGAAGGACCUUUGCAACAGGGCCAUCGUACAGGGGAAGGUGAGGGAAGCCAUGGAGUCCGGCGAGCUCAGAGGUAGGGCCCAUGCAAUGGCGCAGCAGUUGAAGCUAGACGUUGCGGUGGGGGGUUCGUCGUCAUCCGACCUGGAGCGGCUCGUCGGCUUCAUCAGGGAGCUCAGAGCCCGUGAGCUUAUGUCCUAUGAUGAUGUAUCUCAGUAG
rnacentral:rRNA from 1 species